GCUAAUGUCAACAUGAACUUCAACGCGUUCCUAGAGAAAACCAAGCUGAAAGAUGAUGGCAGCAACUAUACGGACUGGGUCCGGAACCUGAGGAUCAUCCUCAUAGCUGCCAGGAAACAAUAUGUCCUAGAAGGACUGCUAGGUGACACUCCCGUCCCAGAGAACCAAGACAUUAUGAAUGCUUGGCAGUCUCGUGCUGAUGAUUACUCCCUCGUUCAGUGCGGCAUGCUUUACAGCUUAGAACCGGUGCUCCAAAAGCGUUUUGAGCACCACGGAGCAUAUGAGAUGUUCGAAGAGCUGAAACUAGUUUUUCAAGCUCAUGCCCGGGUCGAGAGAUAUGAUGUCUCCGACAAGUUCUACAGUUGUAAGAUGGAGGAAAACAGUUCU
rnacentral:rRNA from 1 species